rfam:Phlebotomus papatasi Contig1182.10, whole genome shotgun sequence.
CGAAUAUGAAAAUAAAGAGAGCUAUCCGUCGACAGUAGGGAAAUGAUUCACUGUCAUGGAAUUGCUCUCUUUAUGUACUAUUCG